GGAAAACCGAAAAAGAAGCCACAGGAAGAAGCGUACGCAUAAAGUUAUAUUAAAGUGUAAAACUCUAUACAAACUCGAACGAGAAACACAAAAAGAGGGAAACCGAUACCACAAAUAUUCUGAAGAUGGCCUUCUCUUUUUUAUUUAUUUUUUUUUAUGAGGAGUACUCGUACUCCUCUGCACUGCGGCGGCCAAAAUCUAUCCAGCCCAUGUAGUCUCUGUCUGCUAUUCGAUGGUUGGCGCUGCCCCUGCUGUUGGCUGUGGAAUUUCUGCGCACAGAAGCUGGGGAGGAAAAAAAAGUUGCCGAGAUUGAGAAGUGAUAGAGGUGUGUGUGUGCUAUUUUACACUCACACUGCAGUGAACUCAAACACACACACACACUUAUUUCCCUGAUGGGUAGAGAAGAUGCCGAAAGAUCACACCGCCUACACUGAGACGUGCAAGUGAGCAGUGAGCGCGUCCUUCCAGAGUUUGUAAGGAUAAGCAUUUUCGGACAAAGGGACGCCCACCUUUCCUGGAGGAAAUGAGCCUCGCUAGUAGCUCGCUGAGGUUGGCCCGCGUGUCUUCGUCGCCCUCGGCCGCGGGAAGAGCUUUCAGAUGGGGGAUAGAGUGACUUUGUUGGAGUUGGUGUGCUCCUAGAGCGUGGGUGUCAGCGUCAAGAUGAGCUGGAGUGUUGCCCCUCACCCAGAGGCUGAGAGGAGUACGGUAACCCCAAGCAGCUUCUGCACAGGACUACCAGCAGGACACACACACACAGACCCCCGGUCAUCUGAAAACCAAAAUACAGGUGCCGCAGCGUCUUCUCCAGGCACCAUCAGAAGACACGAGUGUGGGAGGUGACGAGGAAAACGUCUGAAGAUGUGACCAGAACGAACUGGACAUAAAAAGGC